AACCUAGGGUUUAGGGUGGUUUGUUUGGUGUAAGUGAUAAGUUUAGGGAGUUGGAGUGUUUUAACCGGUGAAAAAGAAGGUUUCACCGAUUGAAUCGAAGAUUGGAACGAAGAUGGAGUUUGGUUCAGUGAAAGUGAAAGAAACCGAGGAAAACGUUCGGUUAAAGUAACGGAGAUGAUGAUAAAAAGGUGGGUCUAGGAAGGAAAAACAGAUUUACCGGUGGAUAGGACGGGAAUCGGUGGUGGAAGACAGUGCUCUGUGAAGGAACCCUAGCUUCCAAGCAGAGACAUGUAAGAGAAUGAUUCUGUAGUGUGUGAGAAUGAAAAUGCAGCGUAGGAAGUAAGGGUUGGCGCUGAUUGAGCCACGCGGCUGAAGUUGAGUGGCGUACGGUGGUGAUUAGGUGAAGGAGUGAGAAAUCUGAUAUGGAAUGAAAUAGAAUGGCAAAGUGAAUCGGAAGGUGGCUGAGGAAUCCCUUGGAUUCUUCAGCCUUGACUUUCAAGGAAUUAAGUCUGGAGUAUACUCAACAGAAAAUUAAUUCAUUAUCUCAAAAGUACUUACAAGAUGUGUUAGCAUGCCUAUAUAUAGGACCAAAUGUACCACAUGCCUAACACAUUGUACACAUGUCUAAUACAAGUAAAAGGAAAUACUAGGCUAAGGAAAUUGGGCUUGGGCCCUAGUCAUCAGCUUCAGUAUGUUCACAUAAUCGGAGCUUACUACACUUGAUG
rnacentral:lncRNA from 1 species